rnacentral:lncRNA from 1 species
GAGAGAAGAGCAUGCAGUCAGGGUGGGGCUCACAGGAGGAGGAGCCAAGGGAACCUCCUGGUGACGUGAGAGGCUUCCUCCUCAUAGGAGGUCUCUAGGAAAUGCCUGUCCCUUCAGAAGAGAAAGGACCGAAGUAGGGCUCCAGAAUUACCCAGGACUUGUCCACCAUGUGGAAGCCCCUGCUCAUCCUUGAAUGCUGAGCUAAAGGGCCGUUUUCGGGAAGCCUGAGUUCCCAGAGUUCAGUGUACACCCGUCUCGUGGCAGUGUUUACGGUUCUUGGGCGCAUCUUUUCUCUGUCUCCACUGCAGUGAGCUCCUGGAGCUUAGGGACUAGGGUUCUGAGCUGCCACGACCAGCACGAGACCAGCACGAAGCUGUUUUCUAACAGGACUCAGGUGGAUGAACUGGAGGCCAGCCUACCUGCUGAGGAAACUAGCAGUCGUGUUCCAGAUCCCCUAAGUCCUCGAGGUGGUGUCAGCCCCGCUCAAGCUGGCACUCUUUGGCUUCCAUCUGCUCCUAGACUAAUUCAGAAACGUCUUCCUUCCCCUGUUUACUCAAGUGUCUUGGAAAAUUAGCUCCCUAAGCCCUCACGCUACCAGUGAGUUUGUCUGAGUUUGAAGGUGGAUAAAUGUUGCCACACCUGAGUCAAUAAAGAAUGAAUCAGUGUGCCCCUC